AUCUUCUGCUCAUGAUAUCAUAUGUUAGUUCUUGGAACAAGCAUCACACCUAGCUUUAAGGGUACAGAAACGUGAGAUUGAGAGAAAGCCUUAGGUUUUUAAUUCAAAAUAUUUUCUAUCCUUUGGUGAGUUUCUAAAGGCUAAACACGUGAGUUCUUCAAUGUGAAUUGAUGUAUGCCUUACAAAUUUAAUGGAAUUUCUUGUGUAAGUAGAGUGGACUGAUCGUGAGUAAGUAAGAAAGCAAAACGAUUCCAUACCAAAUUCUAAGAGAAUCGGCUCAGGAGAUGAUUUGCUAAAAUUUGCUAAGUUAUGGAGAAUGAGUUACCAAACGUACAACACCUUAGUUGAGGAUAAUUCUCUUGAAAUAUGAUCCAAGGUUGAAUGUUCAUCUACGACCUUCUCGAGUUCUUAUGAGCAAUUAAGGUAUAGAUAAUCAGUUUGACGAGC